AAGUCAAAUGUUCCUGAAGUUUAGAGGUUUCGGAUUUUUUUUUUUUUUUGGUACUCAAUUAUUAGAUAUGAAACCUAUGAUUUUGGGCGACUGCAUGACCUGGAUUGGAGUUGAGGAGAGGCGAGGAAGCUGAUGCUCCGAAGUGAAUAACCGAUUCUAGCGGAUUGGAGGAAGGCAGGAACUACUUCCACGUGGAACACGUAUCUCGCGUGGUGUCAUGAUGUCAUGUCACGAACAGU
rnacentral:misc_RNA from 1 species